ACGGGGUGGAAUGUCACACAC
rnacentral:misc_RNA from 1 species